UUCCGGAGCUAACGCGUUAAAUCGACCGCCUGGGGAGUACGGCCGCAAGGUUAAAACUCAAAUGAAUUGACGGGGGCCCGCACAGCGGUGGAGCAUGUGGUUUAAUUCGAUGCAACGCGAAGAACCUUACCUACUCUUGACAUCCAGAGAAUUUAGCAGAGAUGCUUUAGUGCCUUCGGGAACUCUGAGACGGGUGCUGCAUGGCUGUCGUCAGCUCGUGUUGUGAAAUGUUGGGUUAAGUCCCGCAACGAGCGCAACCCUUAUCCUUUGUUGCCAGCACAUUAUGGUGGGAACUCAAAGGAGACUGCCGGUGAUAAACCGGAGGAAGGUGGGGAUGACGUCAAGUCAUCAUGGCCCUUACGAGUAGGGCUACACACGUGCUACAAUGGCGUAUACAAAGAGAAGCGACCUCGCGAGAGCAAGCGGAACUCAUAAAGUACGUCGUAGUCCGGAUUGGAGUCUGCAACUCGACUCCAUGAAGUCGGAAUCGCUAGUAAUCGUAGAUCAGAAUGCUACGGUGAAUACGUUCCCGGGCCUUGUACACACCGCCCGUCACACCAUGGGAGUGGGUUGCAAAAGAAGUAGGUAGCUUAACCUUCGGGAGGGCGCUUACCACUUUGUGAUUCAUGACUGGGGUGAAGUCGUAACAAGGUAACCA
rnacentral:rRNA from 1 species